CUUUAUUUUAUACUUUCGUUUUCUCUUGCAAUGGCAGAUUUUGCUUGGCCAUGGCAAUACAAUUUCCCACCUUUUUUCACAAUUCAGCCAAACCUUGAGACCAGGAAGAAGCAGCUGGAGGCUUGGUGUGCCCUGGUGCUGGACUAUCACAGGCAGAACAAAUCCUACAGUGUAGAUGUGACAGAGAUUCAGUCUGCGCCCCUGUUCUGUAACAAAAAGCUAGACCGUAAACUCUCAAUAGAAGGAAUAUAUAUGGUUUUAGAAGAACUCAGAAAACAGGGUAAGUAAUUGUACCAAGUAUGUGUAAUUGUGUAUGUAAUGUAUAAUAAUCAUCUUAACUUAAUUUAGGGGUGUUGAAGGGAACUUUCAUUUGGUUAUUUUAUUUUUAAAAAGCAAGUUUUGAUUAUGCACAUACCUUUCUUGAAGAAUUUGGGACUGCAUCUGUGGGCACGAGAAUAAUAAAGCUUGUUUUUUGUUGUAACAAUAUAUAUUUGACUGGUGAAGAUUGUUCAUCGAUGAUUUUUGCUUUUCCAUGUUGAAACUCAGUUGAAUUAAAAUAAAUUUGAAAAUGAGAUUACAGGACACAUAGAAUGGAAAGAUCCCAAAACAAAGAAGCAGGGCCUACUGAUGUGGAGGACUCCCGAGGAGUGGGGCAAACUGAUCUACAGCUGGGUGUCUUCAAAAAGUAUGCAGAAUUCAGUUUGCACUCUGUAUGAACUAUCUGAGGGUGAGGAUUCUGAAGGCACAGAAUUCCAUGGUUUGGAGAAGUGGCUGCUACUUCGAGCAUUGCAGACACUUCAAGAUCAGGGAAAGGCGGAAGUCAUCAACUUUGAUGGAAACGAAGGAGUGAAAUUCUUCUAACUAUCAUGUGUGACUGUGUUCACCAUACUGAGAUGGGCAAGUCUCCAGGGUCGUCUGAUCCAGGGCAUUCUAACAGAUUUACAGACGCACUGGCAAAUCUGUUAUCAUGUACAUGGUCAAUUUGAACCUCCAUUAUGUGAAUCUGUGUAUGCUUGUGUAUUACUGCAAGUGAACUUUUCUGCAAGAUUUUCAUAUCCAUGUACAAUUUUUUCAACUUAUAUGCUAAGAAUGAAGAUGCUCUUCACAGCCAUCAAUUAAUGUAAGAUCACUGGUACAUGUACAAGACCUCCUGUAAAACUUUAAUUUACUGAUAUAUUUUUUUUUCUUUGAGAAGUGUGAAACAGAAUUCAUGAAGUUGUACACUAACCAUCAAUUUAAGAAUCUGUUGUUUAUUUUCUUCUUUAUUUAACAUGUGAUGUGAUAACCAUAUGUAGUGAAAGGAAAAAUUGUGAAUCUUGUGUUUCUUAGUAGAUUCAUAUGAAACAUACUUUCGUACAUGCAGUUAGAUAUUUAUGAUUUUAAUGAGUAUGGUAGAGUGCUUGUUAUUUAUUUAUAUGAUAAUUGUAAUAAAUAUUUAAAUCCAC
rnacentral:misc_RNA from 1 species